rnacentral:piRNA from 1 species
GGAAAGAUAGAUGGAGGAAGUGG